AGUGAAUAGAUACCCGGGUAGUCCACGCCGUAAACUAUGGAUGCCAGCAGUUUUCCGUAUCGACCCGGAAAAGUUGCGAAAGCUAAACGCGUUAAGCAUCCCGCCUGUGGAGUACGGUCGCAAGACUAAAACAUAAAGGAAUUGACGGGGACCCGCACAAGCGGUGGAGCGUGUUGUUUAAUUCGAUGGUAAGCGAAGAACCUUACCCAGGCUUGACAUCCUGCGAAUUUUUCGUAAAGAAAGAAAGUGCUUUUAGUAGCGCAGUGACAGGUGUUGCAUGGCCGUCGUCAGCUCGUGUCGUGAGAUGUUGGGUUAAGUACCCGCAACG
rnacentral:rRNA from 1 species